rnacentral:lncRNA from 1 species
GCACACCUACCCAUGUUUGGGUUAUAAAUUAGAAUGUGUUGAAGAGAUUGUGUUAUGAACAAAAGUAAUGGCUUCUAAUAGAAUCUCUUUUAUUUGGGUUCUUCUCUUUGUUUUUGUGUUAGGUUUGUUAUUUGCUAGGGCAUCAUCAACAUUCAACAUAGGUGAUGUUUCUGGUUUUCAUGCAAGUAAGUGAAAUCUUUCAUUUUUCUGAUUUUUCUAUCUUUUGUAUGAAUAAUUUGUUAAUAUAUGGAUUAAUUUGCUAAAUAUAAAUUUAAUCCUUUAUGUUUAAUAUAUGGAUUUCUUGAAUAUAUGGUUUAUGUUAAAAUAAAUUCUUAUUGUUACUUUAUAGGUUCAUAUGAAAAAUUUCAGAGUAGAAAGUUACUCCCAGGACCAGCACGAGGAGAUCUUCCUUGUUGUGGAAAUUAUCAGCCAUGAUUUGGAAGUUGCAUGUCUUCUGUUUGAAGGAAUAUAAGGAAAUAAAAAGGUGUAUUACAUUGUAAUUCGCUGUAAUAUUGUAUUAUGUUUAAAAUAUCUAUUACCAUUUUUAGUUUUUAAUGUUUUUUUAAUAGCUUAAUUAAAUAUUAGUUUGAUACAUAAAAUGAAAUUGGAAAAAUUUUGUGAUGGGUCUGUAAUAUAAUUUAGUUCUUAAACUUUAAAAUUAAAUAGAUAAAGUCUAUUUACCUAACCUUGUUAAACUAAAUUAUAUUUUAAGUUGCAUUUAAGUUUUUUAUAAUUUUGAACAUACUUUAACUCAAAAUUUAACCUGAAACGUUAUUUAAUAUUUUUAAAAAAAUAACAAUAUUGAAUUAGGAGGACUACAUCUGUAUUUUUUUUUAAUUUUGAGAUUAAAAUGUAUAAAAGUUUGAGAAAUAGACAAAAUUUUAAUUCGUAUUCAAGUCGAAGGACUUUAAAUAUAUUUAACUCAAACUUUUAUAUAAUUGAUUUUAAUUUUUAAAAUAAUAUAAGUUAUUUAAAUUGUAUAUAUUCAAUUAUAUGUAAUCAUUUUAAGUAUAUAUUAUAUGUUUGCCAAUCUAGAGAAUAACUACUAAUUAUGUUCAUAUUUAAUAGUUCUUUCAUUAUAGUUAUGGAAGUUUCGAAAGGAAGUCCUUCUACUCUAAUACACUCACCUGUUAUGUAUAUAUUUGUUAUAAUUAAAAAAAAAUAUACUUUAUGUAAUUUUUGAUUGUGAAAUCUUUAUAGGUUUAUAACAAGCCAUUAAGUCUCAAUUCAAGAGUUAAUAAAUUUGACAAAUUGGUCUAUGAGAUGCAUCAAAGAAUGACACACGUACUUUGUCAAGGGUACAAAACGAAAAUAAGACAACUAAUUGUGGUGUGUACGCCAAAGGCUUUGUAAAGAGUGCUUAUGAUGAUUUAUAUAGGAUUAUUCAUAAAAUAUAUGAGCUAGAGUAAAUACUUUUACUUCUCCAAAAAGAGUAGUUAUUUUGUAUUGUGAAUGGUUUGAUAUUUCUAGGAGUGAUACAAGAGUGGACCUUAGGUAUAAUAUUGUUGAGAUUCAAAUGAGUUUAAGAUACCGACCAUUUGAUCCAUUCAUAGCAAAUAAUCUUAGACAAAUUUAUCAUGUACUAUAUCCAGCAUUUCACAACAUCACCAAAUGUUUUGUUUUGCCAUUUACUGAUCCAUUGAUAAUUAGUAGCAACUAUAGAUCAUCAGUAAUUAUUGAUAGAUAUAGACUGUCAAUAAUUAUUUCUGACAUCAAUGAAUUUUAGCUCAUUGGUAAUUCGUCAAAAGAUUUCAAUUACCAAUAAUUCUAGUUUUUUUUUUUUUUUUGUAAUGUUGGUUGCUUGUUUUAUAGACAUAACUAAAUUUUAAAUUAAUGUUGAUUUUCUAUUUGUUAGACGUAAAAGUUGUUUUCAAUUUACUUUAAAUCCAAAUAACAUGUGUUGCCUUUCCUACGUAUCUACGAAACUAAUUAAAAGCUUUUAUAUCUAUGUGUAAAAAUUGUUAGAUUAACGAACCAAAUAUAGUAUAUAAUAUUAAAAAAAAUUCUUUAGUAGCAAUAUUUAUAAAUUGUAUGACUAUAAGUUUUAACGUAAAUAAUUCUUAAAAGAUGAAAUGAAAAAUAUCGGCAAUGUCUUCUUUGUUUUGUGUUCAUAAAUCAAAUAUAACAAAAAUAAAAAUAAAAGACAAACCUAUAAAACAAAUCCUUCAAAAUAUAUAACUUAUCUUUGACCCAAAAUUUAUCUCGAUAUUCAACUCACUGAUAUGAAAAAAAAAAAAUGAGGAAUGCUCAACUCUAAACCUUAAAAUAUAGAAACAGAAUUCUUAUAUUAUUUUGUAUCUUCGACAUGCACAAAGGAAAUUAUAGGAAAAUGUAUUAAUAUAUUUCACGAUUAUAGCAGUCCAUAAUAUUGUUUGUUCUACUUGCAUAUUACAUUACUACCGUUGGUAUAUAUUGUCUAACGUUUGAUUUUACAAAACCAAAACCGGUAUAGAUUAUAUAAAUCAGAAAUGAAAAUACUGGGUGAGAGCAAUAAUAGAAUAAGACCUAGAAGACACGGGAAGGAAGCGGAGAAUCUUGGGAAUUGAAUGUCGGGAAUAGAUUUGUCAAAUUAACCCACUUUAUAGGGUAUGGUCUUGACAGGGUCAAGAAAAAAAAAAGUCCUAAAAGAGUUAAAAAGUUCAUAAGAGAAAAUUUACAUAUCCAAAAUCUAGCUUUAACAUUAGUUGACUUGGCUCGACCUUCGACUUAAAAUAAUCUAGCUUGUCCUUUAUCUUGGAUCGACAUGGUUCAUCCUUUGUCCUCAAUUAACAUGACUCGACCAUUGACUCUGGCUAACCCGAUAUGACCUUUGGCUCUAGCCAACUUGGCUCGACAUUCAGCCUGUGCCGGCUCAACUUUCCCUUCAACUCAGUUGACUCAUCUCGAUCUUCAAUUUGAAUUGACUCGACUCAUCUAAAAAUCAACUCAAUUUGACCUUUAAUCUGAACCAACCUAGUGUAACCUCCGAACCAGGAAAACUCAUUAGCUCCAACUUAAAUCAAUGCGAGUUAAGAUGGGUUCACCUCAUGCUAAGUCAAGUCAAGCUCACCUCUUGUCAAGUCAUGUUAAGCCAGCAUUUGGUUAAGUCAUUUAAAGUCCACCUUUGGCCAAGUCAUGUUAGGUCAACCUCUGAUCAAGUUGGGUUAAGUCGAUUUGAGUCAUCAGUCUACCUUUGAUCGAGUCAUGUUUGACUCACCUGAAGCCUAGUUGAACCAGGCUCACACAAUUAGUCUAUUGGCCAUGAAUAAAAUUAACAUCUCAUGGCUCUUAACAUUUUAAAGUAUGUGUAUAUAUAAUAAGAAUUUAUGAAAAUUAAAUUAAGCAAAUUUUAAUUUUUGUAAUAAAAUACGUCAUUUAAUAUUAAUAAAUAAUAAAAUAUAAAAUUAAAUAUAAUAAAGAAUAAAAAAAAUUAUUAAGAUAUUUUUUUAUUUUUUAUUUUCUUGAGUCACUUAGUGUCUGUUUUUCUCCAUCAUUCUCAAAUGUUAUAUUUUAUUUCCAAGGAAAAAAAAAUGAAGUUAAACAUACUAAUAAUAUUUUUCACUUGAUUUGCUCCAUUGUGUGUUGGAAAAAGUUGUGAGCAAAUUGUAGUGUUCUUAACACCCAUAUUUUGAUAUCUUUUGGGAUAUAUUUCACCAGUCAUUGACAUUGUCAUUCAAUUUUGGACCAACCAAGCACUAGGCUUAAUGUUGAGUCCAUAUUUCAAAUUCAAAUGGUAGGUCCCCUUAGACACUUCAAUACCAGCCACAUAUAUAUACACUGCAUGUUGGACUCUCAGCAUUUCCUCUACUUUUUUAGUCAACCCAUGCCAUUUUCAUCAACAAUUAAAUAAGUCAAAUGUUUUAGUAUAACUAUUAUUCGGUAUAUGAUAAAUUGUUCUCAUUAUCUAUUUACAAGAAUAAAAGUAAUUUAUUUUUUUAAAAUUAGAAAAAAUCUUAUCAAGAUGAUUAAAGAAAAGUUUAAUUCAGUUUCUCAAGCUGCUUAAUAUUGGUAGGAGGAAUGUACUAAAAUUUGUUGAAUAAGACAAGGGUAUAAGCUAUUAUGGGUGUGACCUUGUGAAGGAUUCCAUGUGUAAUUUGAAUGAAUCAUUUUGGGAAAAACAAACUAUGAUGUCUACGCAUGACCUUUGGAAAGUUCUUAAUUGAAAACAUUAAAAAAUUGUAACUAGUUCCUUGACUCGAUCCUUAAGUAGUAACUGGCAUUCUUGAAUCUAGCAUAUCUAUGUGUUCUGUCCAAGAAUCUAGAAACCAUGAAUCUUAAUUUCUUCAGACAAAAACAUUGGAAAGGAUGAUGAGCUUGAAGGAUUCUACAAGUAGUUAUUGCAUUUGUCUAAUUCUAGAUUAGAGAAAGUGCAAAAGUUGCCUUUUUUCAUGAAACUGCAACAACUUGCUUGUUGAAUCAAUCUUCUAUGAAGAAAGGGAUUUCAAAGCUCAGUCAACGUUCUGCCAAAAAAUUGAUUAGAGUGCAAGAAUGAGGGAACUUUUUCUUUGUCAGAUCCAUGAACUACCUAAAUCAGACCAACUUGCAUGCCUGUGUUUCAAAAGGUAUGUUCAAGAACAAAAAAAUCAAAACCAAAUUAAUGAUGGAAGCAUGUCAUUGGUCCCUUAGAUCGUUUCCCAUUAUGAUAGGAUUAUAAGUGUGCCUUCAUAUAUGUAUGACUUUGAACAGAGAUGAACAAGUUCAGUAAUAUAUAAGAAAAAAAACAUUAAGUUUGAUGAGGAAUGGAAUUUAAGGUUUAUCUUCUAAUUUGUUUUAGUAUUUGAUCUAAACCAAAACCAGUAUAUAUAUCUCCUAUUGUGGUAAAAAAACUAUAGUAAACUCACAUCUUUAAUCUUUCUUGUAAACUUUUCUGACAAAGAUACUCUGUGAACUGUUAAUUGAUUAUUAAUCCUUUUUUUAAAACCCUUUGUGUUCAUUUUUGGGGGUAAAACUCAAUCUCUAAUCACUGAAUUGUUCUUUCUUAUUGAGAGAGCUUGAAUCCAAAUUUCAUUAAAAAAAAUCAAACCUUUUUGUCACCUGGUUAUAAAAGUUUCAAAAGGGUUUAAGGAUUUCCACCUUGUGAUUCCAAACUUGAUGUAAAAAUCAGACCAACUUGCAUGCUGUUUGAGAUGUGAUGUUGGAAAGUAUCAGAAAGAAGCGAUAAUGCAAGCCUAUGUAGUCCUUCAAACAUGGUAAAGUACAUGAGAAAGUGACUUUAACAUAAAUUAUAAACCUUCAAACAUGCCAUUGAAAUGCUAUUUGUAGACCAUCACACCACACAAACAUUUUAUCAGAAAAAGCCAAGAGUCCAAGAUGCAGUAUGUGUGGCCCUGAAGCACUAAGGUGGCCAACCAUUGAACAUGACAUGUGGACUCACUUUAUGAAUAAUGCCAUUUGGUUGGUCCAAAAUCUUUGACAAUGCAUAGGAAAAAAUAUCUCACAACCAAAACUUGGGAGUUAGCAGAUAACAAAGUUAACUGCACUCUAAUCUGUUUACAUAUGAACUUUUUAUAACCAACAAAAAUGGUUGACCUUUUUAAUAAACGAAAUACAAGAAGAUACAAUUUUUUUCAAAGAAAGUAAAUUCAUAAAUUAACACUUAUCAGUUCUGCCAAAAACACUGAAAUUCUAUCACAAUUUCUUAUCAAUUCAUGUUCCAUUUACAAGUUAACAACACCAAAGAUCAAAAACUGUGUUACCACUUUCACAUGCUUUAUUUGCAAGUUUCAUCGUUGAACAAAUAAAGAAGAAUCUUUCUGAAUAAACUAAUUACAAGGAUACAACUUUUUUGAACAGAAAGUAAACUUAUAGAUUAACUCUACUCAGCAACACAAUAUGAACUAAUCUCAGGAAAAAAGAAAAAGAAAUAUAACCCAAUUAGAAAUAAUCCACAUCUCAUUAUUGAAAAGCUUCAUCACUGAAAAAACUAUCUACAUCCCAUUUACAUGAUUCAAGAUCCUCAUCCAAAGAAACAUCAACGUUAGAAAACACAGUAGGAAGAGGUUGCUCAUAAAGAGCAUGAUCAGAAAACAAUAAACUAUCAACUUCAUAGUUUAACCCAUCAAACACUUCUUCUUUGAAGGUUUCUUCCAAAGACAAAGGUUCCAUCCAUGGCUGAAACAACAGAACAGAAGUGGGUGAAGCGCAUGCACAACAACUCUUCG